AUGGAUCUGUGGUCUCUAGAGCGACUUGGGAAGGCUCUGCGGUUCAGUAGUUUGCGUUCUCUUGUCCUCGAUUACUGCAAAUUUGGAAAGGAAGAACUUGAGAGCAUUUUCUCAGGCCUGGAGAACAACCAAAGGCUUCAAGGCCUCAGUCUGCGUUAUCGUGGUGUGGGACCUCAGAGCGGGCUAAGACUGGGUUCGGUCAUCAGCCAGAGUGCCAUUUGCAAGCUGUACCUUGAAGGCAAUUACUUGGAAUGUUCUGGAGCGCUGGCUCUUCUCAGGCCCAUAGCAGACUCUGCGGAGACACAGGGGAAAGACCGGCUGACCCCAGGCUCACCAGACGCUGGAAAUCCCCCUCAGCGGCUCCAAGCCAAACAGAGAGGAAGUUCAACUUUGAACCAGAUUACAAAAUCGUCUGAAGCUGUAACAGUGAAAACUACUUCAGGGAAGAAAAAGAGAAAAAAAGGAAUCAAGAAGAAAAUUGAAGGUCUGAUGGAAGCUGGUCCUUGGUUAGUGAAGUUGCAUUUGGCAGAUAAUGGCAUAGAUGGAAAAGGAAAAGAAGGAGAAAAUGGUUUGUCGGAAUUCAUUCAAACUUUAACAUACCUGAUCAAAUACUCUGCCCACUUAAGGGAAAUUGACCUUGGAAACAAUGUUCUGGGAGAAAUGGCUGCUGCUGAAAUACUUGAAGCACUGAGAGUCAGAAAGACAGGUAAACUACCGGUCUUAAAAAUUACAGUCACUCCCCAGAUCUCUUCAGAUACCUUCAGAUCAAUUUGGAAAAAUAGCAAGAAGUCUAAUACUAUCCGUAAAAAGAAGAAAAAGACUAAAAACUGA
rnacentral:lncRNA from 1 species